ACCUGGAAGAUAGCACAGUCAGUAGAGCAUGAGGCUCUUAAUCUCAGGGUUGUGGGUUUGAACCCCACGUUAGGCA